ACACAUGCAAGUCGAGGGGCAGCAUGAACUUAGCUUGCUAAGUUUGAUGGCGACCGGCGCACGGGUGAGUAACACGUAUCCAACCUGCCGAUGACUCGGGGAUAGCCUUUCGAAAGAAAGAUUAAUACCCGAUGGCAUAGUUCUUCCGCAUGGUAGAACUAUUAAAGAAUUUCGGUCAUCGAUGGGGAUGCGUUCCAUUAGGUUGUUGGCGGGGUAACGGCCCACCAAGCCUUCGAUGGAUAGGGGUUCUGAGAGGAAGGUCCCCCACAUUGGAACUGAGACACGGUCCAAACUCCUACGGGAGGCAGCAGUGAGGAAUAUUGGUCAAUGGACGAGAGUCUGAACCAGCCAAGUAGCGUGAAGGAUGACUGCCCUAUGGGUUGUAAACUUCUUUUAUACGGGAAUAAAGUGAGGCACGUGUGCCUUUUUGUAUGUACCGUAUGAAUAAGGAUCGGCUAGCUCCGUGCCAGCAGCCGCGGUAAUACGGAGGAUCCGAGCGUUAUCCGGAUUUAUUGGGUUUAAAGGGAGCGUAGGCGGACGCUUAAGUCAGUUGUGAAAGUUUGCGGCUCAACCGUAAAAUUGCAGUUGAUACUGGGUGUCUUGAGUACAGUAGAGGCAGGCGGAAUUCGUGGUGUAGCGGUGAAAUGCUUAGAUAUCACGAAGAACUCCGAUUGCGAAGGCAGCUUGCUGGACUGUAACUGACGCUGAUGCUCGAAAGUGUGGGUAUCAAACAGGAUUAGAUACCCUGGUAGUCCACACAGUAAACGAUGAAUACUCGCUGUUUGCGAUAUACAGUAAGUGGCCAAGCGAAAGCGUUAAGUAUUCCACCUGGGGAGUACGCCGGCAACGGUGAAA
rnacentral:rRNA from 1 species